rnacentral:lncRNA from 1 species
AGAUUCCCAAAGUUGUCUGUUGUCUUUUGCCUGUAAGGUGUGGCAAGCUAACACAAUCCUGGGAGCUGAACUAAAUCUCUUAAUUCCUUCUGGAGAGUGAUUCUUUUGGUUUGAGAGAGAACCUAGGACUCUACCUUAUUUGUUUACUUACCUGUUUUGUUUUUGAGACAGUGUUUCUCUGUGUAACCUUGACUGUUUUGGAACUCACUCUGUAGACCAGGCUGGCCUUGAAUUCACAGAGAUCGCUUGCCUCUGCCUCCUGAGUACUGGGAUCAAAGGUGUGAGUCACCACUCCCACCCCCACCCAGACUGGGAUCUACCUUUUUAAAUAAGCAAGAUAAAUUUUCAAAUGGAUGAAAUGUGGAAACUGGCUCUUCCCAUGAAUCCUACCCCAGCUGUACUAAAGGCAUUGCUAGAGACUCAGUUCUAUUACAUUGUUGGCACUGUACCUUCUGAGCAGAGCCGGAGGUAUAAAAUUAGCUUAAGUCUUCCUGGGAAUUCUGUCCUCUUAUUUGCUCUGCUGACCCCCAGUGGCCAUCAGAGAAAGAAAAACUUGGAUAUUUCACAAAACUAAUAGCUGUGUCCACUGACAAAGUCAAGACUAUUUCCAUGGUUAUCAAGUUUUUAUUAACUUUUUUUCCUGAGGUAGGUUCUUGGUACAUAAUUCAAGCAGGUCUUGGACUUGUGAUCUUCCUGCUUCAGAUUCUGAAGUUCAGAGGAUACAGGUAUCUAUCACUCGCUGCACCCAGCACGGGUAGCAGGAUUUACUUUAUGAAGGUCCAAAGUUGACAUUGGCUACCUUUCUUCAGUCACUUUUUCUCUUAUUUUUGGAAAGUAUAUCAACUUACUGAACCUGAAUCUUUUAUUUGGCCAGACUGUCUGGCAAGGCCCAGAGUUCCUUCUUCUCUCUUCCUCCCCAGUGUGUGGACUACAGAAGAUGUGUGCUACUACAUCCAUAAUUCCUUUUUUAAAUUUUUUUUUGAAAUAGAAUAUUUUAUAGCUCUGGCUCUCCCUGGAACUUGCUGUGUAGACCAGGCUGGCCUUGAAGUUGGAGAGACCCACCUGCUGCUGCUGGGAUUAAAGUGUCUGAGACUGCUCCAGCACCGCAAUGACCAUGGAGUUACAUAGUUGCAAUCAAGACUUGAUAGCCCACAAAAUGGUGUAAUGUAGCUUAGGAUGGCCUUAAAUUCCUGAGUAGAAGCCACCACGUCUGACUUAUGCAGUGAUGAAGAGUAAACCCAAGACUUUAUGCAUGCCACGCACAAACAUUCUGUCAACUAAGCUACAUUCCCAGCCAGGUGCAGGAUUUCACCUCAGGGAGGUCCACACUCCAAAGCCUACUCUCAACUGGAGAGGAGUAUGAUCACAACACAUACCAUACAUAUGCAUGUAUGGAUACAUGUAUACACACAUACAUAUAUAUGAACUUGUCAUUAAAUAAAGUAAAAAAAAUUUU